rnacentral:rRNA from 1 species
UCAAGCUACAAAGAGCACAAGGGGAAUGCCUUGGCACCGAGAGCCGAAGAAGGACGUGACUAACUGCGAUAAGCUGCGGGGAGCCGUAAGUAGGCUUUGAUCCGCAGAUUUCCGAAUGGAGCAAUCCGGCAAGAGGAAAGUCUUGUCAUCAUAUACUGAAUACAUAGGUAUAUGAGGGGAACCGCCUGAACUGAAACAUCUAAGUAGGGCGAGGAAGAGAAAUCAACCGAGAUUCCGCAAGUAGUGGCGAGCGAACGCGGAAGAGGCCAAACCGAGAGUAGUAAUACUUUCGGGGUUCGGACAGAAAACGGUAUUGUAAAGGUUUAGUGGAAUGGAAUGGGAAGUCCAACCGAAGAAGGUGAGAGUCCUGUACACGAAAAGCCUGAACAGCCAUCUGUAUCCAGAGUACCGCCGGACACGUGAAACCCGGUGGGAAUAUGGGGGGACCAUCCUCCAAGCCUAAAUACUACUCGGUGACCGAUAGUGAAGAAGUACUGUGAAGGAAAGGUGAAAAGUACCCCUGACGGGGAGUGAAAAAGAACCUGAAACCUUGUGUUUACAAGCACCGAAAGCUCAUCAAAGAGCGAUCGGGUACCUUUUGUAGAAUGGUCCGGCGAGUGAAUGUAACCGGCGAGGUUAAGCACUUAAGGUGUGAAGCCGCAGCGAGAGCAAGUCUGAAAAGGGCGUAUGAAGUCGGUUGUAUUCGACCCGAAACCGGGUGACCUACCCAUGGUCAGGUUGAAGUAAAGGUAAAACUUUAUGGAGGACCGAACCGACUCCCGUUGAAAUGGUAGCGGAUGAACUGUGGGUAGCGGAGAAAUUCCAAUCGAACCCGGAGAUAGCUGGUUCUCUCCGAAAUAGCUUUAGGGCUAGCCUUGAAAUAGAUUACCGGAGGUAAAGCACUGAAUUGGCUAGGGGCCGAGAGGUUACUGAACCUUAUCAAACUAAGAAUGCCGGAUAAUCGUUUUUCAGGAGUCAGACAGUGGGAGAUAAGUUUCAUUGUCAAAAGGGAAACAGCCCAGACCCACAGCUAAGGUCCCCAAGUAUAGUUAAGUGGAAAAGGAUGUGGAAUUGCACAGACAACCAGGAUGUUGGCUUAGAAGCAGCCACUCAUUAAAAGAGUGCGUAAUAGCUCACUGGUCGAGUGACUCUGCGCCGAAAAUUUAACGGGGCUAAACUAUACACCGAAGCUUGGGAUACAUCUAAUGUAUGGUAGGAGAGCGUUCUGUAUGGGGAGAAGUCGUAGCGAAAGCGGCGGUGGACUAUACAGAAGUGAGAAUGCCGGAAUAAGUAGCGAGAAUUAAGUGAGAAUCUUAAUGGCCGAAAGUCUAAGGUUUUUGGAGGAAGGUUCGUCCGCUCCAAGUAAGUCGGGAGCUAAGGUCAGGCCGAAAGGCGUAGCCGAUGCACAUACGGUUGAUAUUCCGUAACCAUCUGUAAUUUAAGCAAAGGGACACUUCAAAAGGGUGUGACCCGGGCGUUGGUUGACCCGGGCGUAAGGGACCGAAAUUAGAGUAGGGAAGCACACUUAGCUGAAGGCGAGAAAAGCUUUGCGUAUAGAAACAGAUGCCCGUACCGCAAACCGACACAGGUGGACAGGAAGAGAAUUCUAAGGCCAGCGGGAGAAGGGUAGUUAAGGAACUCGGCAAAUUGACUCCGUAACUUCGGAAUAAGGAGUGCUCGAAAGAGCCGCAGAGAAUAGGCCCAGGCGACUGUUUAGCAAAAACACAGGUCUCUGCCAAAUCGAAAGAUGAAGUAUAGGGGCUGACACCUGCCCGGUGCCGGAAGGUUAAGAGGAGGAGUGAGAGCUCCGAAUUGAAGCCCCGGUAAACGGCGGCCGUAACAAUAACGGUCCUAAGGUAGCGAAAUUCCUUGUCGGGUAAGUUCCGACCCGCACGAA